rnacentral:rRNA from 1 species
CAUCGAAAGUGAAUCGGGUUAAUAUUCCCGAACCGGGACAUGGCGGCGGGCGGCAACGUUAGGAAAUCCGGAGACGUCGUCGGGGGCCCCGGGAAGAGUUAUCUUUUCUUUUUAACAGCUUGCCCACCCUGGAAUCGGUUCACCCGGAGAUAGGGUCCAGCAGCUGGAAGAGCACCGCACGUCUUGCGGUGUC